UGAUAUUUUCUAAGAGAGAGUCGUUAUAUGGCCGCCGAAGAGGCAAGCCGGAUUUCGGACAGCAGAACCGUAUCGGGUGAAACUUUCAGGCAAAAGGACUGGAGAAUGUAC
rnacentral:ncRNA from 2 species